UCGCUAGUGGCUUAGUGGUAAAGAAUCUGCCUGCAAUGCAGGAGCCUCAGGUUGGAUCCCUGGGUUGGGAA
rnacentral:tRNA from 1 species